rnacentral:snRNA from 1 species
GGAUGUGAGGGUCAUCUGGCUGUGACAUCUGUCACUCCAUUGAUCACCAGGGUUGAUUCGGCUGAUCUGCCUGGCUUGGCGGGUGUCCCCUUCUUCCCUCACCGCUUCAUGUGUGUCAGUCCCAAAGCUGCUUGCUUUGUCGAAGAGAAUGACCUUCCCUGAAUAGAGACUGACUGGUCUUCUGUGUAGGGUAUAGCAGUAGCUGCACUCACCUGCUAGAACCUCCUAAUAAGCUCUCAAGAAAAACCUAAGGAAUGGAUUCUCAAGAAGCUUUUGGAAAUCAUCAGGCAAUACAGUAAGAUGUCAGGCUAC